rnacentral:rRNA from 1 species
UGGGGAAUAUUGCACAAUGGCGGGAACUCUGAUGCAGCGACGCCGCGUGAGUGAUGAAGGAAUUCGUUUCGUAAAACUCUGUUCUAUGGGAAGAAAAGGACUGUACCAUAGGAGAAAGCUCCGGCUAAAUACGUGCCAGCAGCCGCGGUAAUACGUAUGGAGCGAGCGUUGUCCGGAAUUAUUGGGCGUAAAGGGUGCGCAGGCGGCUUUACAAGUUGUAUGUGAAAUAUUGUGGCUCAACCACAAACGUGCAUCCAAAACUGCAAAGCUUGAGUUAAGGAGAGGUAAGUGGAAUUCCUGGUGUAGCGGUGGAAUGCGUAGAUAUCAGGAGGAAUACCGGUGGCGAAGGCGACUUACUGGACUUAAACUGACGCUCAGGCACGAAAGCGUGGGGAGCAAACAGG